rnacentral:rRNA from 1 species
UACGUAGGGGGCAAGCGUUGUCCGGAAUCAUUGGGCGUAAAGAGCGUGUAGGCGGCUCGGUAAGUCCGCUGUGAAAGUCCAGGGCUCAACCCUGGAAUGCCGGUGGAAACUGUCGAGCUAGAGUCCGGAAGAGGCGAGUGGAAUUCCUGGUGUAGCGGUGAAAUGCGCAGAUAUCAGGAGGAACACCGGUGGCGAAGGCGGAUCUCUGGGCCUUACCUGACGCUGAGGAGCGAAAGCAUGGGGAGCAAACAGG